GCCUGGGUGGCUCAGUCGGUUGAGCGUCUGACUUCGGCUCAGGUCAUGAUCCUGCGGUUCGUGAGUUCGAGCCCCGCGUCGGGCU
rfam:Felis catus isolate Cinnamon breed Abyssinian chromosome X, whole genome shotgun sequence.